GCUUAGAAAAAUUAGGGCAUAAGUUGUCUUCUUCUCACUCUUGAGCGGACUUCUUCGUCCUUGUGCCGCCCCGCGACCAACAUCACUGAAAUUCUUGGAUCGGCGACAAGCUUCUUCGGCGUCGGCAUUCUGGAAAUCGGUUCUAGAUGAGAUUGCUUGCGGGUUGAUUUCAUUGAAGCUAAGGGCCACUUGUAUUCUGGUUAUAGCGGAAUACUAGAAGUUGUGGCUGAUCCCCAAGGUGCACUUUCAAGAGAAUUUCGGAACUUAGGUGUUUGUGUGGUGCAAUAGUGUGCCAAAAUUCGCAUAAUAGGUUAUGGAAAACUCUCAACAAGGUGCUAUUGGAGGGCGCCAGGAUCCGACUGGCUCUCCCGUAAUACGUAUUACCCAGGUGUCCGCAUUCAAUAGUCCCGUAGAUGAAACUAAUCCAUCUAACGGGAACCCAUCACCUAUCCAAAAAACCGUGAAGAAAAUGACGAGAUGGAAGGGAUCUCGGGUCUCACCAUUGCUCUGGCAAGUUCGCUCCAUCACAUCAGAUUGGGAGAAAGAGGGCGAUGCUUGUGCUCAAACCAAAUCAAGGAUAUCUUCCGUUCGACGGGCAGUGCUUCAGGAUUCGUAGGGGCCUGGAGAGGAACAUAAUGCUAUGGAUAUCCCACCAGCCCUUGAACCAAAUGCACUGACGCAGGAUUAGGAUGAUACAAUCCCCCUUACACAAGUAGAGGACGAAACAAUCUCACCGACACAAGACAUAGAGACUGCAGAGAGUGAUAUGCCGUACUUGGGUGGGAAAUCAGGGCCCGAUGAUACGCUGAUUGCAGACACGGAGGCAAGUGAUAUGGCACGCUUGGACAGGAUAGCAUCAGAUGGCGGUUUGGAAAUCAUACUUCAUAGAACUUGUAUUGCAUUAUGUAAUUACAAAGAUUUGACAUACGCUCCUUAUAAUAUGUAAUCUCUUAUUUGUAUUAGCUGGUUCCUCAAAGAAAAAAUAGGGAAAUGGGGCGGCAAGAAUGCCACAUAGAAGAGAAAAAGAUCACAAGAUGCUUGUACUCCCAUCACCCGAUGGUAAAAGCAUUAUUGGACCUGAUGUAAAUGAGUACAACACUGCUAUUGGAGUCAUUGCACGCAAUGGAGCUCGACUUUCUCUGCAUUACCCAACAUUUUCUAAAAUACCGGAGACGAAGAGACAGGGUGCAUGGAUGGAGGUUCAGGUGAUGCAACAUCCACUAAUAAGAAGUUCCUUUAAUUUUAUUAAAUUUUUAUUACUGUCCUACUAUCUUGGUUGGACUGGGUGAUAACCAUGCCAAAUGUCUUACCUGAGUAACAACGGAUUACCAAACUCAGUAGAGAAAGUGGUCUUGGCUGACUUAAGGGACGUUUGGAGGCAUUGAAAAUACAACAUCAAAUCAACUUACUUCAACCCUAUUGAGGAUAACGGAGAAGCUUUGAAAAAUGUUUCCUCAAGUAGGAUCGUGGCCGAUCAGUGGCCGAAGUUAGUCGAGUACUAGCAGAACGAAAAGUUUAAGGUAUGCAAUAGGACCAACAAUCAUUUGAUAAUUUUAUUUUCACAGACCUAGGAUGAGAACUAAAUAAUUCAUCCUUACGUAGCUUCAAUCUAAGAAAAAUGCGUCUAAUGUUGUAAUACCCACGGAGCUGGGCCGGUGCUAGGCCACCUCCCAUGGAUGAGCUGAUGCCAAGCCGUCCGAGGUUGAAUAGUAAUUAAAUGCAUUAAAUAGACUACUUAUGUCAACAAUGUGCACAUUUCUUUUUGAGAGCCCUACUGAAAGAACUCUAGAGUUAAGUGCACAUUUCUUUUUGAGAGCCCUACUGAAAGAACUCUAGAGUUAAGUGUGCUUGCCCUAGAGUAAUUUGAGGAUAGGUAACCCCCUGAGAAGUCUCCUAGGGUGCGUGUGAGUGAGGACAGAAGCGCGCUGGAAGGACUCGUGUUGACUUGUGGAGCCAGUAUGCAAUCCUGACAUGCUCGGCUUUGCAUGGCUUGCAAGUUGGGUGUCACAGUUGGUAUCAGAGCUGACCUGCGACAGUCCACACUCGUUGACCGAACUGAUGACGGACCGAACAGUUGAUGAUCCUUGGGGUGCAACGGGGUUGUUGGAUUCUUAAGUAGGGGAGGAUAUAAUACUGCCGUAGUUGGGUCGGUGCUAGGCAAGCUCCCAUGGAUGAGCCGGUGCUAGGCCAUCCGAGGUUCAAACGUAAUUAAAUGGAUUGAAUAGACUACUUGUGUCAACAAUGUGCAUAUUUUUUUUGGGAGCCCUACUGAAAGAACUUUAGAAUUAAGCGUAUUUGCCCUAGAGUAAUUUUAGGAUGGGUGACCCCCUGGGAAAUCUCUCAGGUUACGUGUGUUUGAGGACAGAAGCACGUCACAAAUGUACAAAAAAGAAGCUUUCCACAUCGUAUUGAGAGAAAGUCCUUCACAAAUCUCGCGGAUGAGAUCAAGGCGAAGGGGAAGGACCCCGACAAUUUAGAGAUUUGGAUAUCCAGUCGGACCCAAGGCAAGGGGGCAGACAACCAACAAACCAAUGAGAUAUUGACAUAUUUACAGAAUGAACUAAACAAGAUUCCCCCUUAACGGUGGACUCCGGUUGUUCAGGAGACUCUAUACCAACGGGCGCUUGGGGGAAAGGGCAUGAAGCACUCGAAGGUUGACAGUGCCACGAGUUUAGCUCAUCCCCGCAAUGAAGCAACUGGUUUAACAGAUAGUGUAGCAUUCCAGCAAAGGUGGGAAGAAAUGCAGAAUGGACUUGCAGAGUUGAAGGCAACGAUGGUUGAGUUCAAAAAUAUCAAGGCUAAUAUGUAUACAUUCAUGCAUGAAAACUCCGAAGUAGUUACUGGCCCGUUUGUAAGUAUUCGUAAUAUUCGUACUUUUUGUAAUUAUAUCCUGCGGGCUUUGGAUGGAUGAGGAAUUCACUAUGAUUUGCUUAUUCGUGAUGCCACAUCUCGUAUUGAUAUGGUCUCUGAGCUUCUCAGGCCUGUGCCCGAAUCCCCUAUGACGGUAUGAUGUCGUGAAACCCUAAAGUUAACUAGUAAUCAGUGCAAUGUCAACUUUAGGUUAAUCUUGAUGGCCAACUAUGUUUCCAACUAAUCUGCAAUGUCUGUUGUAGGUUGGCACCCGUGUCCUUUUAUUAUCUCCUACCGGAGAGAAGAAAGUUAUUGCUGAGGGACUUUUGCUCUGCUUCCAUACGCUAGAUGACACACUUUCUCUUGUCAAGGUCUUUGUUACAUCCAUCUCAGUUCCGGACACACCUCUUGUUUUGCCGACCAUUGUUGGGGUGACAACCAUUCGCGAUAUUAUCGGUGAAGAUCCUGUUGAGUGGAACUACACGGACGUACGGAUCUACUUUCAUACCUUUCAUGUAUUGACUUCCAAAACUUAAAAGAAAUAUGACUUAUACUAAAUCUCCUUAUGGUUGCAAUUGCAACUCAUGCACCGCCCCUGAAGAAUUUUCAAGCGAUUCCUUAAUGUUUUGCCCCACUUGCCAUAUGGAUUGCAUGCUGUAGAUGUGUUUGGAGGGUAGGUUGUUAUUGCUAUGUGAACUACCUAUGGAUUAGAGGCAUAGACAUUUGGAGUUAUUUUUUGUGUGGUGAGAAUUGUGUUUAUGGUUGAUGGAUAUCUCUACUUGCUUAUUACUAGGUUGGAUGUUUGAAAUGCUUGUGUUUUGCGCAUAAUAUCAUAGCGCAGAUGUUGCUAUGCUUGUUUGAUGGGUUACUUUCUUUUGUUUUUAGGUGAUGGAUAUCACUUG